GACGAACGCUGGCGGCGUGCUUAACACAUGCAAGUCGAACGGAAAGGCAGUGCUUUUGUCGGGUGCUCGAGUGGCGAACGCGUGCGUAACACGUGAGUAACCUGCCCUUGACUUUGGGGUAAAUCCUGGAAAAUGGGGCGAAUACCGGAUAGGAGCUCCUGAUGCGUGGGGGGGGUUGGUAAGUUUCGGCGGUUGGGGAUGGACUCGCGGCUUAUCAGCUUGUUGGUGGGGUAGUGGCUUACCAAGGCUUUGACGGGUAGCCGGCCUGAGAGGGUGACCGGCCACAUUGGGACUGAGAUACGGCCCAGACUCCUACGGGAGGCAGCAGUGGGGAAUAUUGCACAAUGGGCGGAAGCCUGAUGCAGCAACGCCGCGUGCGGGAUGACGGCCUUCGGGUUGUAAACCGCUUUCGCCUGUGACGAAGCGUGAGUGACGGUAAUGGGUAAAGAAGCACCGGCUAACUACGUG
rnacentral:rRNA from 1 species